rnacentral:rRNA from 1 species
AAAAACAUCGCCUCUUGCUUAAUAUAAGAGGUCCAGCCUGCCCAGUGAAAAUUUAACGGCCGCGGUACCCUGACCGCGCGAAGGUAGCAUAAUCACUCGUUCUUUAAAUAGGGACUUGUAUCAAUGGCAUCACGAGGGUCGCACUGUCUCCUCCCCCUAAUCAGUGAACCUGAUCUCUCCGUGAAGAAGCGGGGAUGAAAAUAUAAGACGAGAAGACCCCAUGGAGCUUUAAACCCAAAGCAAUCUAAUCAAAUAAAUCCUCAUAUAAUUUAAGUAUGCAUAACGGCUUUAGGUUGGGGUGACCGCGGGGCAAAAACAAACCCCCACAACGAAAAGAAAUAAACCUUUAUUUAAGAGUUACUACUCUAAGAAUUAGCACACUAACGAAUAAUGACCCGAUAAUCGAUCAAUGGACCAAGUUACCCUGGGGAUAACAGCGCAAUCUACUUCAAGAGCUCAUAUCGACAAGUAGGCUUACGACCUCGAUGUUGGAUCAGGGUAUCCCAGUGGUGCAACCGCUACUAAUGGUUCGUUUGUUCAACGAUUAAAACCCCUACGUGAUCUGA